UACGUAGGGUGCAAGCGUUGUCCGGAAUUAUUGGGCGUAAAGGGCUCGUAGGCGGUCCAUCGCGUCGGGAGUGAAAAGCUGGGGCUCAACCCCAGUCCUGCUUCCGAUACGGGUGGACUAGAGGUAUGCAGGGGAGAACGGAAUUCCUGGUGUAGCGGUGAAAUGCGCAGAUAUCAGGAGGAACACCGAUUGCGAAGGCAGCUCGCUGGGACGUCACUGACGCUGAGACGCGAAAGCGUGGGGAGCAAACAGG
rnacentral:rRNA from 1 species